AAAAGGAAGAGGAGGCACGAGCAGCUCCUAAGUCCGCUGCCACUCCCAACUUGUAGAGGCAACUUUAGUAAACGGAACACGCACGAAAAGGACAAAAUGGGAGCGCACGAGGAGAACCCGGAAGUUUGUUUUUGUGUCCCGUAAGGGGGUAAAAUACUCGCAAGCGUGGAUUGUCUAAUUAUACUGAGACUAUUCACAUUUAAUCACUUUAAAAUAAAUCGUUUAUUAGCCAACGCAAUGUCCAGCAUUUUAAUGCUAUAUGAAAAGUGAUUAAAAAUGCACGGCGAGUGAUAUGUGCUGACAAAGCUUAUACAAGGCGUUGUCAAAUUUUAUUUUCACUUUGUUAGCAGGCCAACAUCGUUCUGGAUGAGAGAAACGCUAAUGAAGGCACAAAUUGCUAACUUCUAAUGGAAUGAGGCAGAAUCCUACGGCGAAAGGAAAGUGGGAAUAAUAAACAUUUACACCAGGGGGAAUGACCAAGAGACCAGCAUGGAGAGAGUGAAGAGGGCGUAUUGAUGAUGGCUGUAAUUAGCUCAGCUAGUUCAGUACACGCAACCACAAUCAUGGGGAAGACUGCUGACUUGACAGUUGUCCAGAAGAUGAUCAUCGACACCCUCCACAAGGUGGAUAAGCCACAGAAGGUCAUUGCUGAAAAGGUUGGCUGGAAAAGGUGCACAAGCAACAGGGAUGACCACAGCCUUGAGAGGAUUGUCAAGAAACAUUGAUUCAAGAACUUGGGAGAGCUUCACAAGGAGUGGACUGAGGCUGGUAGGAAAUCAGCAUAUCAUUGGCAAGAGUUUCCCUGCCAUUCAGGAUAUCUACCUCUAAUGGUGCCUGCAGAGGGCACAUAGCAUCAUUAAGGACCACAGUCACCCAGCACAACAGCUGUUUUCCCUGUUACUGUCUGGAAGGCAUUACAGAAGCAUGGCUGCACAGACUACCAGACUCAAGAACAUUUUUUUUACCAGUUUUUAUUGCUACUACACACAGACAUCUUCAGGAAAGGGGUGACAACUGUCACAUUCCUAAUAUCAAGCCACUCCUGAACCAAAGACAAUGUCAGGAGCAUCUUAGCUGGACUAAGGAGAAAAAGAACUGGACUGUUGCUCAGUGGUCCAAAGUCCUCUUUUCAGAUAAAAGUAAAUUUUGCAUUUCAUUUACAAGGUUGUCGAGUCUGGAGGAAGAGUACACAGGCACAGAAUCCAAGGUCUUUGAAGUCCAGUGUGAAGUUUCCGCAGUCUAUGAUGAUUUGGGAUGCCAUGUCAUCUGCUGGUGUUGGUCCACUGUGUUUUAUCAAGUCUAAAGUCAAUGCAGCCAUCUAUUAUUAUUAUUAUUAUUAUUAUUAUUAUUAUUAUUAUUAUUAAUAAUAAUAAUAAUAAUAAUAAUAAUAAUAAUCUUAUUAUUAUUUUACACUCUCUUACUUUGGCCCAUUGUGUAAAAUGUCUACUUGAUACAAAUGGACUGAAAACUGUGAAAGAUUAAAAAUAAGUGACUAAAAGAUACAUUUAAAA